rnacentral:rRNA from 1 species
AAUCAACGCUGGCGGCGUGCCUAACACAUGCAAGUCGAACGAGAAAGUGGAGCAAUCCAUGAGUAAAGUGGCGACCGGGUGAGUAACACGUGACUAACCUACCCUCGAGUGUGGAAUAACAUCGGGAAACCGAUGCUAAUACCGCAUAACAUCGCAAGAUCAAAGGAGUAAUCCGCUUGAGGAGGGGGUCGCGGCUGAUUAGCUAGUUGGCGGGGUAACGGCCCACCAAGGCGAAGAUCGGUAGCCGGCCUGAGAGGGCGCACGGCCACACUGGAACUGAAACACGGUCCAGACUCCUACGGGAGGCAGCAGUGGGGAAUUUUGCGCAAUGGGGGAAACCCUGACGCAGCAACGCCGCGUGGAGGAUGAAGCCCCUUGGGGUGUAAACUCCUUUCGACCAAGACGAUAAUGACGGUACUGGUGGAAGAAGCACCGGCUAACUCUGUGCCAGCAGCCGCGGUAAUACAGAGGGUGCAAGCGUUGUUCGGAAUUAUUGGGCGUAAAGGGUGCGUAGGCGGUGCGGUAAGUCACCUGUGAAAUCUCCAAGCUUAACUUGGAGCCUGCAGGCGAAACUGCCG